AGAUCUGAAGCAUCAUUUUACCUGUUUCGAAUGUCGUACUUCUGGAGCAGUUUUUUCGGCGUUUUGGCCACGAUUGCCCUCGGUAUAUUGAUCAGCGCAUUGACAGGAGAAAUGUGGAGUAAACAGGAGCAACCGGAGUUAUCCAGUGAUGUACUUGUAAAGUUGUGGCGGAAACCGACGCACCUGCGUGUGGAAUCACAAAAUGAGGAAACGAAGACACCACAGCUUUUGAAGCACAACUGUAGCGCAGCCUUUGAAGACCUUGUGAUGACUGAAGCGGGAAGUGAAGUGUAGGUAAAAUUAUUUACAGAAAAAAA